GCCUGGGGGGCUCAGUCGGUUGAGCAUCCGACUUCGGCUCAGGCAUAAUCUUCUGGUUCGUGGGUUCGAGCCCCACGUCGGGCU
rnacentral:tRNA from 1 species